CACGUAGGGCGCAAGCGUUGUCCGGAAUUAUUGGGCGUAAAGAGCUCGUAGGCGGUCUGUUACGUCUGCUGUGAAAACCCUGGGCUUAACCCCGGGCCUGCAGUGGGUACGGGCAGACUAGAGUGCGGUAGGGGAGACUGGAAUUCCUGGUGUAGCGGUGAAAUGCGCAGAUAUCAGGAGGAACACCGGUGGCGAAGGCGGGUCUCUGGGCCGUAACUGACGCUGAGGAGCGAAAGCAUGGGGAGCGAACAGG
rnacentral:rRNA from 1 species